rnacentral:rRNA from 1 species
AACGAACGCUGGCGGCAGGCUUAACACAUGCAAGUCGAGCGCCCCGCCAGGGGAGCGGCAGACGGGUGAGUACCGCGUGGGAACGUACCUUUUGGUUCGGAACAACUCCGGGACACUGGAGCUAAUACCGGAUAAGCCCUAACGGGGAAAGAUUUAUCGCCGAAAGAUCGGCCCGCGUCUGAUUAGCUAGUUGGUGAGGUAACGGCUCACCAAGGCGACGAUCAGUAGCUGGUCUGAGAGGAUGAUCAGCCACACUGGGACUGAGACACGGCCCAGACUCCUACGGGAGGCAGCAGUGGGGAAUAUUGGACAAUGGGCGCAAGCCUGAUCCAGCCAUGCCGCGUGAGUGAUGAAGGCCUUAGGGUUGUAAAGCUCUUUUGUCCGGGAAGAUAAUGACUGUACCGGAAGAAUAAGCCCCGGCUAACUUCGUG